rnacentral:rRNA from 1 species
GACGAACGCUGGCGGCGUGCUUAACACAUGCAAGUCGAACGAAGUGGCGAACGGGUGAGUAAUACGUGGGUAACCUGCCCUCCUUCUUGUGAUAAGCCUUGGAAACGGGGUCUAAUACCCACUAUAGGGUGAUGGGCUCGCGGCCUAUCAGCUUGUUGGUGGGGUGAUGGCCUACCAAGGCGGUGACGGGUAGCCGGCCUGAGCGGGUGGACGGGCACAGUGGGACUGGGAAAAGGCCUAGAGUCGUACGCGGGGGAGCAGUGGGGGAUAUGGCACAAUGGGUGAGAGCGUGAUGCAGCGAAGCCGCGGGGGGGAUGAAGGCGUUCGGGUUGUAAGCCUCUUGCGCUAUCGAACGGGUAGGUGAAGAAGAAGCGCCGGCUAAUUACGUGCCAGCAGCCGCGGUAAUUC